AUUGAAAUUGGAGUCCAAACCUCAUCUGGAAACAUCUGUUUCUUCUUCCCAGGCACCUGUAACCUAUGAUGCCCUGAUGGACAUGGAGUACCUGGACAUAGUAGUGAAUGAAACUCUCAGAUUGUACCCGGCUGCUAACAGGCUAGAAAGGAUCUCAAAGAAAGAUGUGGAAAAAAUCAAUGGAGCGUUCAUUCCCAAAGGGACUGUAGUUAUGGUACCAACCUAUCCACUCCAUCGGGAUCCUGAGUACUAGCCAGAGCCUGAGGAGUUCUGCCCUGAAAGGUUCAGCAAGGAGAACAAGGGCAGCAUCAAUCCUUAUGUAUACCUGCCCUUCGGGAAUGGACCCAGGAACUGCCUUGGCAUGAGGUUUGCCCUCAUCAGUAUGAAAUUCGCUGUUGUCAGAGUGCUGCAGAACUUCACCCUCCAGCCUUGUGAGGAAACACAGGUCACGUUUUGUUCA